UUCCACCCCUUAUUCAAAGUGGCCGCCUCUUACCUACUCUUCCCCCUCUCCCCAUAAAUCCUUUCCGUCCAAAUGCCCGAUCGAAGCAGCGCACUGAAUUGUUCCUCCACCCUCCGUCGCCACCUCCAAUUCUGCCUUCCCAACACCGUCACGAGGGCUGCUUUCUGUCUUUUCCUUCGCAGGCCUAGGUGAAGGGGUUUUUUCUUUGUUUGGAUUUGUGUUGCGAGUAAUCGUUUAAAUCCUCCCUUUGUUCCUCACCGCCGGAGAUUCUUCCAGUUGAAAGUUCGAAAUAUGGAUACAGUUUGGUCAAAAAUGCAGGUUUCUCCAGCUUCACUUAAAUCAGAGCUACAUGCGCCUGCUGAAACGUCAAAGCAAACUCCUGGUACAGGCCCUUCCCCUUAAGUUAAUUUUGCUACUGAUAUUUUGGACAUGCUUUCAGUGGAUGGUCCUGGUGAAAAUACAAAUGGAGGAGCAUCUGAGGAUGACGACUCAUGGGCAGUAUUUAAGGCUUGCAGCUGCUGAUACAACAUCAUCCAUAGAGACGAACCAAACUGCUAUACCAGAAAAACUUGGUGAUAAAAACUCCGAGUCUUCAUCUCGAAUCGAAGACCUAUUUAAGGAUACAAACAUCAAUCCAAUAUUGUCUCGCCACGCAGAAAAGCAACAACAACUUGCUAUACUAUCUCAAAAAACAGUCCCUUCUAAUGGCUUCCGAAUCUAAUGCUUCUGAUGCCCGGAAUGAUGGUGCCAGAAAAACACAAUGUUGACUCGGAGAAAUAUCUGCAGAAUGAAUGCAGAGAAGGGUAUCUACCUCAACAAUCUUAGUAUGUCUGGUACAGUAGCUGGAACUCUGGAGUUCAUCACCAUAUGUAUCGCUUGAUUGGAUUUUAUCUCAUGGAUUUUACCCUAAUGCUGCAAUGGGUCAGCUAUGCUGAAAAGACAGUUUAUGAUGAUGCUCAUGGUUGAUUGUUGUUUUCUUAAAUUCCAAUAUGUUAUCUUUGCUUUGGCAAAUAGUUGUUAAAUGGGAGGUUUUGGAGUUUGGUGUAGAUAGAAUUGAUCAUACAUAUUUCACUGUAAAUGGUAUGAUAAUUAGGAUUUCUAGCUUGUUGGUAUAUCUGAUUAAAUGCUAUAUAUGCUCUGGUAUUUAUUUGACAGUU